rnacentral:rRNA from 1 species
AACGAACGCUGGCGGCAUGCCUAACACAUGCAAGUCGAACGAGACCUUCGGGUCUAGUGGCGCACGGGUGCGUAACGCGUGGGAACCUGCCCUUAGGUUCGGAAUAACUCCCCGAAAGGGGUGCUAAUACCGGAUAAUGUCUUCGGACCAAAGAUUUAUCGCCUUUGGAUGGGCCCGCGUUGGAUUAGCUAGUUGGUAGGGUAAAAGCCUACCAAGGCGACGAUCCAUAGCUGGUUUGAGAGGAUGAUCAGCCACACUGGGACUGAGACACGGCCCAGACUCCUACGGGAGGCAGCAGUGGGGAAUAUUGGACAAUGGGCGAAAGCCUGAUCCAGCAAUGCCGCGUGAGUGAUGAAGGCCUUAGGGUUGUAAAGCUCUUUUACCCGGGAUGAUAAUGACAGUACCGUAAGAAUAAGCUCCGGCUAACUCCGUG